CCUCCCUUUUCCCAUCUCACGUUUUGUAGCCCUAGACAACAGUCUCUCUCUCUCUCUCACUUGAAUGGAGGCGAGCGACGAGCGGCGACAGUGGUGGCGAGCGACGAUCGACUAUUGGCGACAGUGGCGGCGCGCAGCGAUCGAAGCAUCGAUUCGAAGUAAUUAGGGCUUCUAAUCGGUAGCGAGCGGCGGCAGUGGCGAUCGAAGGUAUCCAGUGCUGGAAACAGUUCAGAAAUAUCUGUGGCCCAGACUGUGCAAGCUGGAUGAGCGAACACUGUAAUUGCAGAACUCCCUAAAACCAUUCAUCUCUAUGGAUGGCAUUUCACUUCCCUUUAAAAAUUGAAGUUAACAGAAUUAUCAUUAUAUUGUUCUGUACAUUUAACUUAUUUCCAUAUCAUGAACUACUGGUCUGAGCUACAUUACCAGAUGAUUGCAUUUGGAAAGUUUUACAGGUUUUCUGCACCAGGAGCAAACCAAAUAGCAAUGCAUGAUCAAUGAGAGAAGAGUGUAGACACUUUGCAAGCGCAUUCGCAAGGUAUGCAUUGAAAGCUUUGAUUGAUUACUACUUUUAGGUGACAACCAAAAGCUUUAUCGUCACCUCCAUA